GACGAACGCUGGCGGCGUGCUUAACACAUGCAAGUCGUACGGUAAGGCCCUUUCGGGGGUACACGAGUGGCGAACGGGUGAGUAACACGUGAGUAACCUGCCCACAACUUUGGGAUAACGCUAGGAAACUGGUGCUAAUACUGGAUAUGUGCUCCUCCGCCUUGGGGGGGUUGGGAAACUUCCGGCGGUUGGGGUUGGACUCGCGGCCUAUCAGCUUGUUGGUGGGGUAGUGGCCUACCAAGGCGGCGACGGGUAGCCGGCCUGAGAGGGUGACCGGCCACAUUGGGACUGAGAUACGGCCCAGACUCCUACGGGAGGCAGCAGUGGGGAAUAUUGCACAAUGGGCGCAAGCCUGAUGCAGCAACGCCGCGUGCGGGAUGACGGCCUUCGGGUUGUAAACCGCUUUCAGCAGGGACGAAGCUUUUUGUGACGGUACCUGCAGAAGAAGCACCGGCUAACUACGUG
rnacentral:rRNA from 1 species